GGAUCCCUAUUCCAGGUGCUACGCCUCACAAAUUGUUGACAUCUUUCUUCUCUAUUAGAUACCAAAGCCCAGCUGCAGCAGAACUAACACAUCUACUCCCAACAUUGAGCCCUCCACUUGCCUGGGCGACCACCACCGAGGAUGGGAAAGGAUGACAUUGGAAGGGAAUUUGCCGCCCUCCUGAUCUCCAGGUGAAGAGCUUAUGGAUGUGAAAAGGCUUUCCCAAAGAAGCCAUGGAGUAGAAUCCAGGUCUCCCAGCUCGUGAUCAGUCUUCCAUCUCCCUGGUGGGCCAGAGAUAUUUCAAGUUGGCAGAGUCAAGCAUGAGCAAGGAGAUGGUGUGGGGCAGAGUGUGAACCAUAUAUUCCUAGACCCCAGGACCCAAUCGUAGCCACUUCAGCUGGCCCAGGCUUUCCCGAAAUGUGAAGACAGCAAACUCCCACUCUUCCUCCUGCAGGCUGGUGGCAAAAUCACAAAGUCCACUUGAGACCACGAAGUCCAAGGAUCCUUGCUUACUCCUGGAAUAUACUAGGAAAAAUACAGGCACCGUGCAGCGGGUGCUGUGUUCUAGCUGCUCUGUUAACUGCCUGUUACCUCAUUUGAUCCUGAUGAAAACCCUUGGGUGAACAAAGGAUCCAGGCCACUGUAACAUCAAAGUACAUUAAGUCAAACUGAACAAGGAAGAAAGCAAAGGAAUCAUUUAACCAAAGGAGAAGGACUGGCAUAUAAAUGGAAUCAAGGAGGCAGUGGUGGCUGCAAUCAACGCCUGAAGAUAAAAGCCACAGCACUCAAAUAACAAUCCUCGUUAGAGUGACAAACAGACUGCAGCUCAGGGAAGUCUAACGUUUUAAUUCUCGGAAACAACCCCUUCCUGCUUUUACAUCAUGGAAAACCAUGCCAUACUUGAUUGCUCAAUAAACAUCCUGAAGACUGGAAAAAAUUAUGAAAAAGAAAAGAAUGU
ensembl:lincRNA